rnacentral:rRNA from 1 species
AGAGUUUGAUCCUGGCUCAGAGUGAACGCUGGCGGCGUGGAUUAGGCAUGCAAGUCGAGCGAUCCUUUCGGGGAUAGCGGCAAACGGGUGAGUAACACGUGAACAAUUUUCCUUUAAGACAGGCAUAGCAUCGAGAAAUCGGUGAUAAUUCCUGAUAGUCCCAUAGAAUCGCAUGGUUUUAUGGGUAAAGGUGGGGCUCUUCGGACCUGCCGCUUAGAGAUGAGUUCGCGUACUAUCAGCUUGUUGGUGAGGUAAUGGCUCACCAAGGCUAUGACGGUUAGCUGGUCUGAGAGGACGGUCAGCCACACUGGGACUGAGACACUGCCCAGACUCCUACGGGAGGCUGCAGUCGAGAAUCUUUCUCAAUGGACGAAAGUCUGAAGAUGCGACGCCGCGUGCAGGAUGAAUGCCUUCGGGUUGUAAACUGCUUUUGUUAGGGGAGAAACCUACGUGAUUAAUACUUGCGUAGCUGACGGUACCUAACGAAUAAGCCACGGCUAACUCCGUGCCAGCAGCCGCGGUAAUACGGAGGUGGCAAGCGUUACUCGGAAUUAUUGGGUGUAAAGGGCAGGUAGGCGGUCUAUUAAGUGAGGGGUGAAAUCUUACGACUCAAUCGUAAAAUUGCCUUUCAAACUGGCAGACUUGAGGAUGGUAGAGGGAAAUGGAAUUCUCGGUGUAAGGGUGAAAUCUGUAGAGAUCGAGAAGAACACCAACGGCGAAGGCAAUUUCCUGGCCCAUUCCUGACGCUGAACUGCGAAAGCUAGGGGAGCGAACAGAAUUAGAUACUCUGGUAGUCCUAGCUGUAAACGAUGAGUACUAGGUGUUGGGACUUCGGUUUCAGUGCCGCAGCUAACGCAUUAAGUACUCCACCUGGGGACUACGGUCGCAAGGCUAAAACUCAAAGGAAUUGACGGGGACCCGCACAAGCGGUGGAACAUGUGGUUUAAUUCGAUGCUACGCGAAGCACCUCACCAAGGUUUGACAUCUAGACAGUAGUGAACUGAAAGGGAAUCGAGCCGUCAAGUCGGCAAUCUAGACAGGUGCUGCAUGGCUGUCGUCAGCUCGUGUCGUGAGAUGUUGGGUUAAGUCCCGCAACGAGCGCAACCAUUGCCCUAUGUUGCCACUCUAUCUUCGGAUAGAAGCACUCUUAGGGGACUGCCUGGGAUAACCAGGAGGAAGGUGGAGAUGACGUCAAGUCAGUACGGCCCUUAUGCCUUGGGCUACACACGUGUUACAAUGGCGGAUACAAAGGGUUGCCAACCCGCGAGGGGGAGCUAAUCUCAAAAAGUCCGCCCCAGUUCGGAUCGGAGUCUGCAAUUCGACUCCGUGAAGCCGGAAUCGCUAGUAAUGGAAGAUCAGCACGCUUCCGUGAAUACGUUCCCGGGUCUUGUACACACCGCCCGUCAAGCGAUGGGAGUUGGGAGCACCCGAAGUCCUGUGUAGGCAGGCCGAAGGUGAGACUGAUGACUGGCGCUAAGUCGAAACAAGGUA